AAAUAUCUUUUUCACAUUUAGCUUUUGGUUUUGCUUUAAUGUAUACGAAGAACAUUCUGAUUGACAAUAGGUGGAAAGGCACAUAUCUUAUAUAUAUAUCACUUAAGAUCCUAUUCAAUUUCCGAUGUGGGACAUUGUCCCUAAUACGCCCUUUCGAGAUGAUGACUCUUCUAGCCAUUGAUCUCGAUAUGUUUGGGCAUGGAUCGGCGGGACAAAUAUUGGGCCGGUCCGAUGUGGAUCGGGUUGAGUAUGUACGGAUCGGGCUCUGAUACCAUAUUAGAGUGUGGGCUUCCAACCUAAAACCAAUUGGCAAUAGGUGAAGAGACUCAUAUCUUAUACAUAUCACUUAAGAUCCUAUUCAACUUCCGAUGUGGGACAUUGUCCCUAAUAGAAUCCACCCAAAAUAUACAAUUUUAUGUAUAUAAAAUAGAUGAUCAUCAACUAAUAUAA
rnacentral:sRNA from 1 species